rnacentral:rRNA from 1 species
GACGAACCGUGCGAACGUUAUUCGGAAUCACUGGGCUUAAAGCGCGUGUAGGCGGGCGGGUACGUCGGCGACUGAAAGCCCCCGGCUCAACCGGGGAAGGGGUGCCAAAACGGCCGGCCUGGAGGGGCGUAGGGGGACCUGGAACUUCCGGUGGAGCGGUGAAAUGCGUUGAGAUCGGAAGGAACGCCCGUGGCGAAAGCGAGGUCCUGGACGCCAUCUGACGCUGAGACGCGAAAGCCAGGGGAGCGAACGGG